UACGUAGGGUGCAAGCGUUACUCGGAAUUACUGGGCGUAAAGCGUGCGCAGGCGGUGAUGUAAGACAGUUGUGAAAUCCCCGGGCUCAACCUGGGAACUGCAUCUGUGACUGCAUCGCUGGAGUGCGGCAGAGGGGGAUGGAAUUCCGCGUGUAGCAGUGAAAUGCGUAGAUAUGCGGAGGAACACCGAUGGCGAAGGCAAUCCCCUGGGCCUGCACUGACGCUGAGGAGCGAAAGCGUGGGUAGCAAACAGG
rnacentral:rRNA from 1 species